UAUCGGUCUUACUAAUAAAAAAUCACUAUACAUGCGUUAUAACAAGGUGAUAGUAAUUCAGUGAAUAGAGCUUGUACAGGGCAUAAACACCUCUUUGACCAAUAAUCGAUGUGUAUUGGUUGAAUAACAAAACGACCCUUAUUUAUUGUUACCCUGGCAACCCGCCGUGUUUGAUUGACGUUUGAUUUAAUAAUUCUGAUACAACUCAUAAUUCUAAUCUAAUAGAAACUCCAAAACCUCAGACAAAGAGGACUAGAAUUUUACAUAAAAAGCCGCGUUCUGCAGUACAAAAGUUAGAAGAGGCAUCUCAAAUAGUGGAAAGUGCCAAACUCCGCAACACGGUAGUGUUCCAGUGUUGCAGGAAGAGCACGAAACAAAACAAAGGCAGAUGGCUGAAACACAUGAGCUCAAACAGAAGCAACUUGCCGAAGCUCACGAAAACGCUAGACAG